rnacentral:rRNA from 1 species
UAAACUUAGGGGAUAGAUACCCUAUUAUAGUAUAUGUAAAUGUGAGGUUUGGGUAGUAGUAGUUAUGAUCUUGAAAUCCAAAGAAUUUGGCGGUAUUUUAGUCUAUUUAGAGGAAUCUGUUCCAUAAAUGAUACUACACGAUUAGAUAGUCUUAAGUUUGUUAACAGUUUGUAUACCGCCGUCAUUAAGAAUUUAUUGUGAAGAGAUUAAAGCUUCUUUAAUUAUAAUUAUAAAAUAAGUCAGGUCAAGGUGCAGCUUAUAUUUAAGAGGAAAUGGAUUACAAUAAAUUUAUUUAUAUGGAUAAUUUGUUUAAGACAGACUUUGAAGGUGGAUUUAAUUGUAAAUAAGUUUAUAUAAUUUUGUUGAUUUUAGCUCUAGAAUGUGUACAUAUCGCCCGUCGCUCUCAUUGUAGGUGAGAUAAGUCGAAACCAUAAGUA